rnacentral:lncRNA from 1 species
AGCAGAGCUGAAUCACUACCUUUCCUGCAUACUCUAAACUGUUGCUUGCGAAAGAGGAACUGGGGACUUCGACUAAUACAGGCUGCUUCCAUUCAAAUGUUCCAGAGGGCAGACACACAUCCAAACAGACUUCUCUUUGCUUUUCAGAGCUUAUAAGGAGCAGGCAUCUGAAGCUCUAUUCCAGAGAUUCUCCUGAACAAGUUACCUGUUGGUGCAAGCUUCAAAAAGGAUACUUAAGUGACCAGUCCUAUUCAUACUGUGAGCCAGGAGAGGUAAGAGAUAUUUGGAAAUAUUAUGAUGUUAUUCCCGGUGAAAUAUUAUUAUUUCAUUUAUCGGCAGGUGAGAUAAAUAGGCACCAAUUGCUGCAGAAGAUCCAGCAACCCCUACUUGAGCAAGCUUAUUACUUAAUGGCUCCAGCCACUGAAGAAGCACCUGCUGCUGGAAUCGUUUUCUCAUAGAGUGAUGUGAAACUAGAUACACUUAUCUCUCUUAGUUUUUUCUCCUCAGCUAGGAAUAAAAAUAUAAAUAGAAUGUACUAACCCUUAAAAGCUGAUAGCAGUUGAUAGUUUUGAAUUUCUUUUUGGAAUUGUUCCACUGAACAUUUUCCUUAACUACUUGGUGAGAUUUCAGCUCUAUAUAGGCAGGUGCCGUGCAGAAAAAUGUAAAAUUACCAGUGGGUUGUUCCCAGAACCUUAUCAAGUUAAAGAAAAUAAAGCUUACUACUAGGAGCACCCUGAGAACCAAACAGAAAUCAGGGUACACUUAUUUUAUAUCUCUAGCACUUAACAAAGUGCCUAGAACUUGAUUGGCACUCAAUAAAUGUUUGCCAAAGAAAUAUUAAUCUGAUUUUGGGAGUCCUGUACAGAACUUGGUUGCUCUUGUUAGAAGUAAGUUUCACUCAAGGAAUCCCUCUCAGGCUUGAUCCAUGCAGAAAGCUAUUUAUCCCCUUAUCAUUUUGGGGAACAAAAUUCUUGAUCUGAGAGUGUAUGUUAUUUUGCUCCUAUGAGGUUACAUAUACUAUGCUGAUGCCAAGAGUG